AUUUAGGUGCUGCCUGGUUUUCUGCCCAGGCGCCCGCGGUUGGCUAGCGUGUUCUGGCACUGAGGGCGUGGAACUGGGGAGUCUGUCACUCUUGGCGGGUAGUCGGCAUCUUGGGACCCACAUGAGCCAAUGACAUCAUGUCUGCCGUGACCGGGUCCAGGGACCCGUGUUUGCCGGACAUUGUUCAGCCAAGAGGGAGGGCGGAAACCACGUCCCCAAAAGAGUUUGGAAAAGAAUCUUGCUCCAGGAGAAUUUUUUCCCUUUGGAUCUUUUUAGCAAAAUCCGAGAGCAGAAUGAAGAACUUGGACUGACUAUUGAUUUAACACACACUUACCGCUAAUACAAGCCAGAGUUUUAGAAAACCAGGAUGUUUGUCCCAUCUGAAGAUGACAUUACAAAUAAUACAAGAGUGAAUGAGCACAAUGAAUAAUGGCUAAGAGAAAUAAGAAAAGGAGGAAAUUUUAAAAUAUCUAAAGAAAUCAUAAGAGGAGGAAAAGAAUUCUAGAGAAAUGCCAAAUAUUAGAGACCAGCAAAAAAGGGCAGUUCUGAAAAGAGUAAUUCAAACAUAUGUAAGAAUUUUGUGUACCAUAAGAGUGACACUUCAAAUCAGUGGGACACAUUAGUGAGUAAAUUGUGAUACAUCCGUGUUGGAGUGUAAAUCAUUUCUCUGGAAGGAUCCACAGUGUGGCAAAAGUAAGUAUGUCUAAGGGGUGAUGGAACUAGGUGCCCGGGGAACUUGGGGAGAAGGGUGAAUUUCCAUUGAAUCCCCUUUUGUACCUUUCUAACGUUCUCUCCUGUGAAUCUAUUACCUCUGAGGUCUGCCUGCCUGAGUUGAAACCCCAGCUCCCCCAGUUGCUGACUCUUCACCUUGGACCAAUUCUUGACACUCUCCAAGCCUAUGUUCUUCUCUGUGAAAUGGGGUGAGCAACUUAGGGGUGCUUCCUGACACAAUAUAAACUCUCAAUAAAUGUAAAUUACUAGUGGAAAUAACGCAAAUGUCCAUGAACUGAGGAAAGCAUAAACAAGUGUGGUGGAUCCAUACAAUAGAAUAUUUUACAGUCAUAAAAAGGCAUGAAAGACUGACACACACUACAAUGUGGAUGAACUUUGAAAACAUUCUGCUAAGUGAAAGAAGCCAGACACAAAGGUCACAUAUUGUGGUGUAUUUCAGAUGUGUGAAGUGUCCAGAAAAGACAAGUCCACAGAGACAGAAAGGAGAUGAGUGGUUGCCUGGGGCUGGAGAGAGGAGGGAAUGAGGAGCAGCCUCUAAUGGUUAGGGGGGUUUCUUUUAGGGGUGAUGAAAAUGUGUUGGGUUAGAUAAUGCUGGUGUUUGCCCAUGCUUGUGAAUGUACUCAAUGCGACUGAAUUUACACCUUCAAAAGGUGGGUUUCUAUGGUAUGUGAAUUAUAUCUCAAUAAAAAUAAUUUUAGAAAUGUAAAUUA